rnacentral:lncRNA from 1 species
CUUGACAAAGUACUUGCACAUGCAUUAUUUAUUAAGAACUGAUGAAAACCCUGAGGGAAAGAUAUUGUCCCAUCUUUCCGAUGAGGAAACUGAGAUCAGAGAAGUUACAGGUCAUAUAACUAGGAAGAGGCAAGGUCUAGCCUGCAACAUCGCCCAGCUCCAGCCGUUCCAGUACCACCAAUGCCCCUUCAGAUUUCAAAUCCACUGUGUUGUCCCCCAGCCAAGUGGAUUCUCCUCUGCAAAUUGGUGGUGGCCUCAUGCAAGAUCCAGGUUACCGUGUCCAGCUAACUCGAGACAGGAAAAGAUAGGCUCAGGAAAGAGAGGAAGGGUGUGCCCUCUCUCUGUGCUAAGGGAGGUGGGGAAGGAGAAGGAAUUCUGGGCAGCCCCUUCCCACUGUGCUCCUACAAUGAGCAGUUCUUCGGGCCAGGAACACGGCUCACCGUGCUAGAGGACCUGAAAAACGUGUUCCCACCCGAGGUCGCUGUGUUUGAGCCAUCAGAAGCAGAGAUCUCCCACACCCAAAAGGCCACACUGGUGUGCCUGGCCACAGGCUUCUACCCCGACCACGUGGAGCUGAGCUGGUGGGUGAACGGGAAGGAGGUGCACAGUGGGGUCAGCACAGACCCACAGCCCCUCAAGGAGCAGCCCGCCCUCAACGACUCCAGAUACUGCCUGAGCAGCCGCCUGAGGGUCUCGGCCACCUUCUGGCAGAACCCCCGCAACCACUUCCGCUGUCAAGUCCAGUUCUACGGGCUCUCGGAGAAUGACGAGUGGACCCAGGAUAGGGCCAAACCCGUCACCCAGAUCGUCAGCGCCGAGGCCUGGGGUAGAGCAGGGCAUGGAGAAUCCACGGACACAGGGGCGUGAGGGAGGCCAGAGCCACCUGUGCACAGGUCAAGAGAAAGGAUUCCAGAGGCUAGCUCCAAAACCAUCCCGGGUCAUUCUUCAUCCACACCCAGGAUUCUCCUGUACCUGCUCCCAAUCUGUGUUCCUAAAAGUGAUUCUCACUCUGCUUCUCAUCUCCUACUUACAUGAAUACUUCCCUCUUUUUUCUGUUUCCCUGAAGAUUGAGCUCCCAACCCCCAAGUAUGAAAUAGGCUAAACCAAUAAAAA